UUUUCGACUGGUUGUGUGGGGAAUUUGCGCCCUCCUAAGUUCCCUAUAUCUGUCACUUUGAACCUACAUAAGCAAUCCGACAAUCAAUAAUAAUUACAAAACAAACAAGCAAUGAAUCUACAUAUGCAUAGUUAAGCAUCAACAAACCUUAAAUUCUUCACUAGUCCUACUCUUUACCCAAUUUUUCCAUGCUGCGACAGAUUGUAUGUUACUAGGUUUUAACUCAAGUAUUUGUCUCUUAUUUGCGUUGCGUACUUGGG
rnacentral:lncRNA from 1 species